rnacentral:rRNA from 1 species
AUUGAACGCUGGCGGCAGGCCUAACACAUGCAAGUCGAGCGAGCGGCGGACGGGUGAGUAAUGUCUGGGAAACUGCCUGAUGGAGGGGGAUAACUACUGGAAACGGUAGCUAAUACCGCAUACCAUCAGAUGUGCCCAGAUGGGAUUAGCUAGUAGGUGGGGUAAUGGCUAACCUAGGCGACGAUCCCUAGCUGGUCUGAGAGGAUGACCAGCCACACGUGAACUUAGACACGGUCCAGACGCCUACGGGAGGCAGCAGUGGGGAAUAGUGCACAAUGGGCGCAAGCCUGAUGCAGCCAUUCCGCGUGUGUGAUGAAGGCCUUCGGGUUGUAAAGCUCUUUCAGCGAGGAUGCGUUGUCGCAGAAAAGCACCGGCUAACUCCGUGCCAGCAGCCGCGGUAAUAC